CUUCACUUCCCCUUCUCUGCCUUUAACACCCUGCAGGUUUUCCUGUUGUCAGACAGGGUGCAGCCAGGCCCAGUGGCAGCAAUUGUACGUGCAUUUCCAGGGGUCAGUUGUCCAGUUCAUCCCUGAGCCUUGAGCUCCCAGUCGCAGGACCACUUGAUCCUUAUCACUGCUUUUGGCACACUCCUCAUCCAAGAGUUGAUCGCAGAGGCAGAGUUCCUUGCCACCAGUCCAGUGGAAGUACAAGCCAACUUUGCUCUCCAAAUGGCAGCAGUAGCUGAGCAGGCCGCCCUGCAUUCUCUCCUCAUAAACAUGCUGUUCUCAAGUUUGUCAGAAUCCAGAGCUCUCUACUCAUUACCCCCUUUUCCAAACAAGCAAGCAAAGCAUGCUCUUCCUUUGUUUCCCUUAAUUGCCUAAAACAUCUCCAUGCUCAUAGCUGUUGACUCUCUUUGCCUCCUAGUUCCUGUUCCUCUGGUGUAGGAUUUCUCAGCCCUAGCACUGUAAACAUGUUGGGCUGGAUAAUCAUCUCUUGUAUGGGCUGUUUGUGCAUUGUAGGAUGUUGAGCAGCAUCCCUGGCUUCUACACACUAAGUGCCAGUGACACUCUUCUCCCCUCCCCAGCUGUAAAACCCAAAUGUCUGCGGACAUUGCCAAAUGUCUCCUAGGGGGCAAAAUCACCCCUGGUUGAGAGUCACUGCUCUAUCAUUUAUUCACUAAAUACUGCUGGUCAGCUGGGUCCACUGGCGAACCUCACAUCAAUAAACCUGGU
rnacentral:lncRNA from 1 species